rnacentral:rRNA from 1 species
AGUCUGCAACCCGACUACAUGAAGCCGGAAUCGCUAGUAAUCGCGGAUCAGAAUGCCGCGGUGAAUACGUUCCCGGGUCUUGUACACACCGCCCGUCACACCAUGGGAGUCGGAAAUGCCCGAAGUCUGUGACCCAACCGCAAGGAGGGAGCAGCCGAAGGCAGGUCGGAUGACUGGGGUGAAGUCGUAACAAGGUAUC